rnacentral:rRNA from 1 species
CGCACCUUGCACCCCUCUGGUAUUCCGGAGGGGUAUGCCCGGUUGAGUAUUAUAAUCGACUCAAGCCCUCUGGUUUCUAAUCGCAAAGGUCGGAUGACCGACGAAACUGUCUAUUGGGACGGGUGGUAGUUGGAGUUUGACUUGGAAUCCGGACUAGGCCUUGGACUUGAGCGCAUGUCGGUUUCACUUAGAGAUCGACUCGCUUGAAAUGGUAUUAGCUGGCGACCCCGACUAACGGUUUCACUCGACGUAGUAAGCCUUUAUUCGUUGAGGACAUCUUUUCUUAAGGUGACCGGUAGACACGGGGUGUUGAGCCGUCUUCUAAUCGUCUUAGGACAAGCGACCGAAAGUCUAAAUCUCAACUCGGGUAGGAUUACCCGCUGAACUUAA